GGCCUAAUGGUCAAGUGGUUAUGACAUAAUGCUUUCACCAUUUGAAGCGGGGGUUCGAUUCCCCCUUGGGCUA
rfam:Lasallia pustulata genome assembly, contig: scaffold26224_size955